rnacentral:rRNA from 1 species
CUUUCAUCGCCUACCCACCUGCAGGAGUUCAUUGCCCUCGCUUCAGUCAUCACUCAGGUGGCGUUGAACCCAGACCAGGAGGACUCCAUCACUUGGCGGUGGACCCCCAAUGGCAUAUACUCUGCUGCCUCGGCCUACGCGGCCCAGUUCUCUGGAUCCUAUCCCAGGUUCUCCCCGGCCAAGAUUUGGGAGGCACAUGCUGAGCCAAAAUGUAAGUUCUUCGCCUGGCUUGUGCUUCACGGGAAGAUCCUCACGGCCGACAUGCUAGCCGUUCGUGGCUGGCCGCACGACCCUUGUUGUUCCCUUUGCCUUCGAGCUCCGGAGACGGCCACUCAUCUCUGCAAGGACUGCCCGUUUGCCGCUGCAGUUUGGUCUCACGUCCAGGUCUGGACAGGAGAGGACUCUGGGGCCACGCCCACGUUGCCCCCUUCGAUGGGGAUUUCGGACUGGUGGGAUUCGCUCACCACCAAUCUGCCCAAGAACGACAGAAGAAGGCGGAGCGGCCGUUUCCUUUACACCAUCUGA